AUGUCUUCAAUGGACUUGAGGCAAGCCUUUGCUGGCCUUCUCACUCUGUCAAUGUUCAUGAUGAUUGGUAAUAUGAUCAAGAAGGAUCAUUUUGAUUAUUCAAUUAAUGAUGUUGAAAUUCAACCAAGCAUGACGACAGUUUCACAUCUAAGCAAAAGGACUUUGAAGCAAAAUGAUAAAGGACUAAAACCAUGCUGGAAUCCACCUUGUGCACUCGGUAAGUUAUCAGCCUUCAUGAUCUAUUUUGGUUAG